rnacentral:rRNA from 1 species
UGAGGAAUAUUGCCCAAUGGACGAAAGUCUGAGGCAGCAACGCCGCGUGGACGAUGAAGGCCUUCGGGUUGUAAAGUCCUUUUCUGGGGGACGAGGAAGGACGGUACCUCAGGAAUAAGUCACGGCUAACUACGUGCCAGCAGCCGCGGUAAUACGUAGGUGGCAAGCGUUAUCCGGAUUUACUGGGCGUAAAGCGCGUGCAGGCGGUUUCGUAAGUCGGACGUGAAAGCUCCUGGCUUAACUAGGAGAGGCCGUUCGAUACUGCGGGACUUGAGGUCGGGAGAGGGACGUGGAAUUCCCGGUGUAGUGGUGGAAUGCGUAGAUAUCGGGAGGAACACCAGUGGCGAAGGCGGCGUCCUGGCCCGCACCUGACGCUAAGACGCGAAAGCGUGGGGAGCGAACG